GCUUACGGCCAUACCACCUUAGGCACGCCCGAUGUCGUCUGAUCUCGGAAGCUAAGCAGGGUCGGGCCUGGUUAGUACUUGGAUGGGUGACCGCCUGGGAAUACCAGGUGCUGUAUGCA
ensembl:rRNA 5S_rRNA 5S ribosomal RNA